rnacentral:rRNA from 1 species
UACGUAGGGACCGAGCGUUGUCCGGAAUCAUUGGGCGUAAAGAGCGUGUGGGCGGCCUUUUAAGUCCUGCGUGAAAUCCUGCGGCUCAACCGCAGACGUCGUGGGAAACUGGAAGGCUAGAGUGCGGGAGAGGAGAGUGGAAUUCCCGGUGUAGCGGUGAAAUGCGCAGAUAUCGGGAAGAACACCCGUGGCGAAGGCGGCUCUCUGGAACGCAACGUGACGCUGAGACGCGGAAAGCGUGGGGAGCAAACAGGG